rnacentral:lncRNA from 1 species
CUAGAACGAACCAUGAAAAACAGCCCCAGACCAUUAUUCCUCCUCCACCAAAUUUUACAGUUGGCACUAUGCACUUGGGCAGGUAAACUUCUCCUGGCAUCCGGCAAACCCAGAUUUGUCCGUCUGACUGCCAGAUGGUGAAUCGUCACUCCAGAGAACGUGUUUCCUCUGCUGCAGAGUCCAAUGGCGGCGAGCUUUACACCACUCCAACCGACACGUGGCAUUGCGCAUGGUGAUCUUAGGCUUGUCUGCGGCUGCUUGGCCAUGGAAACCCAUUUUAUUUUGCUCCCAACUAAGAGUUUCUGUGCUGACGUUGCUUCCAGAGGCAGUUUGGAACUCUGUAGUGAGUGUUGCAACCGAGGCCAGGCGAUUUUUACGAGCUACGCGCUUCAGCACUUGGUGGUCCCGUUCUGUGAGCUUGUGUGGCCUGCCACUUUGCUGCUGAGCCGUUGUUGCUCCUAGACGUUUCCACUUCACAAUAACAGCACUUACAGUUGACCAGGGCAGCUCUAACAGGGCUGAAAUUUGAUGAACUGACUUGUCGGAAUGGUGGCAUCCUAUGACUGUGCCACGUUGAAAGUCUGAGCUCUUCAGUACGGGCCAUUCUAUUGCCAAUGUUUGUCUAUGGAGAUUCCAUGGCUGUGUGCUCGAUUUUUCCUCCUCCUCCUCCUUCUUCCUCCUCCAUAGGUGCCUCAUUUUCCUCCUCCUCCUUAGGUGGAGUGUGUGUGUUAAAAAGAGACCCUCAAAUGAUAAACAAGCUCUGGUCAAAAAAGCUGACAUCACUCCUGCUGCAUCUCACUAACACAUGACUGACGCCACUCUACUGUCCCACAAAGGAGGGGGAGGAAAACAGAGGAGAACCUCUUAAGUUUCCAGUCCAGUACAGAACUACCACUGAUAUGAGAGAGGACACAAGGAAGUGAGAGCAGUAAAGCAGAAAGAGAAGAAUUCUCCAGAAAACGCUGUGUCUUGCUCUCGCCGAGAGAAGCUUAGACCAAACAUAGAUUCUAUAGGGACACUGUUUUUUAGCUCAGAUUGUAGAACUUGAAGCCUAUCAUGAUGGAAGUGAUCCUGACUAGACUGAGAGAUUUCUCCUCUAAGGACGCCACCUUUGAUGCCUGUAAGUCAGCCGGGCCCGUUGUGUCCAGGGACCCACAGACCACCAGAGACCCCUGCCUGGAGGAAGAGCUCCAGAUGGAGGGCUGCAUUCCCGGAGAAUAGGGCAGCUGCCCCUACAAACUGGACUUUGAAAGUGCACUGGCCUGGCUGCACAGGGAACUGAUGGAAAUGCAAUCUCAGGACCAGGCCUUGAUACAAAAGCUGAUGGACCUUCACACAGCAAUCCAAGAGCUCAAGCUUGAGAGUGCCGAGGAGGAGGAGGAGGAAGAAGAGGAGAAGGAGGAGUAGGAAGAAAAGGAAUAGGAGGAUGAGGAGACAGAGGUGGCUAGGAGCUGGGGCUUUGAGAGCGAGGCAGGGGGCAGUGGUAGUAGUGUUUACUCCAGCUCAGGGGAAGUGGGAUUUUCCAUAUCCUGCCUGUCCACUAGAAUGACACCAUCUGCUCUUGGGUCAUCUCUACCAAAAAGGACUUUCAGCAGAAGAAGCUCUGUGCCUUAAUAAAACCACAAAAAGUACUCUCUUAUGGACUGACCACAUAGUCAAUGUCAGGCAUAUACCACAAUAUCAUCUAUAUCAUCUAUGCGCAUGUGCGUGUGAGAGAAUAAUUCAAUGUCUGAGACUGCAGAGCUUAAGUAAGCUGUGUAAUUUUAAACUCUAACUAGAUGGAAGAAACAACAACAGCUGCUAUCACUGUACAAAGGUCAUAAAGGUAUCAUAGUACAUUUAAGAGAGAAUAACCAUUAUUUAUGGUAGCAUAUUGCCUGUAAUGUCUCAACAAUUUCAAUAUCAUGACUGCAUAUCAUUCCAAUAAGCUCUAAUACUCUUCCAUAUUACUUGAAAUGGUCUGUUGUUACUGAAAUUGUCACGUUUCCUUAAGGGCAGGGAGAAGGGGCAGAGUCAAGAGCAGGAGACUGAGGUCCAAUAGUGCCGAAGUUUAUUUCCACCGAAACAAAGGUGGUCAAAAGGCACAGGGUGCGCACAACACCCAAACGGAAAAGGUUAUCCAAAAAUGAUAACGCACGGGGCGCAGCCCGGCAAUAAAAAUAUAGAAUGCAGCAUGCUGAAAACACAAAACCGUGUACACAAAAUCACUACCCGUCGACAUACAAAUAAUCCCGCACGAAUACAGAACACAAAGGAACAAACUAAAUACCCCCUCCCACUAAUGGCAGACAAGAAACAGGUGCGGACCUAGACAGACAAAAACCAAAGAACACAGAAACAUAGAUCGGUGGCAGCUAGUAGACCGGCGACGACGACCGCCGAGCGCCGCCCGUCCGAGGAGGGGCGCCAUCUUCUGAAAUACAGUAUUUUUAGAAUGUCAAAUUAAUAUGCAAUUUGUAUCAUCCACCCACAUGCUGUAUAUAUUGAUUUGUUGUACAACACUGUAAUUGUACACCGAUGUUUGUAGACUAAAACAUGAAUGUCAGUAACAUACAGUGUAUAUACUUACUAUAAUGAAUGACAACGCACCUUAGAUUGAGAUUAUGUGUCUGUUCAUUGACGGCACACAGGUUGGCAUUUUGGAGUAAUAUCCAGUUGGCUGAUCCAGCAGAAUCAUACAAUACAAUGAAGGGUCAAGUAAAAUGUUUUUUUGAAGAAAGGGCAUCAAAGUGAACAAGAUAGGAUACUGUGUAAUGGAUAUAAUGUUUAAGGGACAAGUGGAGGUGUUUAUCCUUGCUACUGUAACUGCAUUUGGGAUAGGUACUGUACAUAGCAUGCCAGAACAAUAAAGAUUAAAAAA